UACGAAGGGGGCUAGCGUUGUUCGGAUUUACUGGGCGUAAAGCGCACGUAGGCGGAUCUUUAAGUCAGAGGUGAAAUCCCAAGGCUCAACCUUGGAACUGCCUUUGAUACUGGGGAUCUCGAGUUUGGGAGAGGUGAGUGGAACUGCGAGUGUAGAGGUGAAAUUCGUAGAUAUUCGCAAGAACACCAGUGGCGAAGGCGGCUCACUGGCCCGGUACUGACGCUGAGGUGCGAAAGCGUGGGGAGCAAACAGG
rnacentral:rRNA from 1 species